UCGAGAGGCUUUGGCAAUGGGGGAAACCCUGACCAAGCGACGCCGCGUGGGGGAUGAAGGCUCUUGGGUUGUAAACCCCUUUUGUCGGGGAAGAAAUCCGAUCAGGUGAACAAUCUGGUCGAUUGACGGUACCCGACGAAUAAGCUCCGGCUAACCCCGUGCCAGCAGCCGCGGUAACACGGGGGGAGCAAGCGUUGUUCGGAAUCACUGGGCGUAAAGGGCGUGUAGGCGGCUCGGUAAGUGGAAUGUGAAAUGCCCCGGCUCACCCGGGGACCUGCAUCCCAAACUGCCGGGCUUGAGUAUGGGAGAGGAUGAGGGAAUUCCUGGUGUAGCGGUGAAAUGCGUAGAUAUCAGGAGGAACACCGGUGGCGAAGGCGGAUCUCUGGACCGGUUCUGACGCUGGGGAGCGAAAGCUAGGGGAGCAAACAGGAUUAGAUACCCUCGUAGUCCCUGAGCGGGCUGGCAAGGCGCAU
rnacentral:rRNA from 1 species